AGCUCCGCAAGUGUAUAUCUAUGUUGCUGCGGUUAAAAAGCUCGUAGUUGGAUCUGCGUGUUUAGCGUCCGGUUCAACUUUUGGUUGUUACUGGAACGCGACACAGAUGUGCUGGUUUGGUGUUGAUGCUCUUAAUCGGGUGUCAGCGCCGGCUAGCGAGUUUACUUUGAAAAAAUUAGAGUGCUCAAAACAGGCGUUUCGCCUGAAUAUUUCUGCAUGGAAUAAUAGAAUAGGACUUCGAUUCUAUUC
rnacentral:rRNA from 1 species